AAUGAAGUGUCUGAUUUAAAGAAUUAUUUUGAUAGAAUAAAACAUGUAUAAUAUACCUUCAUUA
rnacentral:tRNA from 1 species